GGGACGUUAGCUCAGUUGGCUAGAGCACUGCCUUCACACGGCAGGGGUCGGUGGUUCGAGUCCACUACGUCCCACCA
rnacentral:tRNA from 3 species